CGCGGCCGCAGAGUUUGAUCAUGGCUCAGAUUGAACGCCGGCGGCAUGCCUUACACAUGCAAGUCGAACGACGUUACGGGGGCAACUCCGUAGCGAGUGGCGAACGGGUGAGUAAUGCAUCGGAACGUGCCCUCUUGUGGGGGAUAACCAGUCGAAAGAUUGGCUAAUACCGCAUGAGCUCGAGAGAGGAAAGCGGGGGAUCCGCAAGGACCUCGCGCGAGAGGAGCGGCCGAUGCCCGAUUAGCUAGUUGGUGGGGUAAUAGCCCACCAAGGCGACGAUCGGUAGCUGGUCUGAGAGGACGACCAGCCACACUGGGACUGAGACACGGCCCAGACUCCUACGGGAGGCAACAGUGGGGAAUUUUGGACAAUGGGGCAACCCUGAUCCAGCCAUGCCGCGUGUGUGAAGAAGGCCUUCGGAGUUGUAAAGCACUUUCGGACGGAACGAAAUCGCGCGGGUGAACAAUCCGCGUGGAUGACGGUACCGUAGGUAGAAGCACCGGCUAACUACGUGCCAGCAGCCGCGGUAAUACGUAGGGUGCGAGCGUUAAUC
rnacentral:rRNA from 1 species